rnacentral:ncRNA from 1 species
GAACGCCGUGUGCAUCGAAAGGUGCAUGCACGGUGUGGAGCGGGGGAAAAGGCGGAGAUCAUAUCAAAGCCUUACCUAUCGCUAU